CUCUGGUCGAGAUAGUAGCGUGUGUUUGUGUUUGUGCAGCACAAGAAGAUGAAGCUGCCAGCAUGAUCUGAAACCAUACGUGUUCUUUGAUUCCCAUCUGAAGAAAGAGUUGGCUUUCAUGGAGAACCGACGGUCAGAUCAUGUGGCAGUUUCAUUUUCUCGUGGCAGCACACCGUCGCCAAUUCGCCAUGCAUGCUUGUUUGGAAACCCUAGCUAAAUCGAUGGAGUCAGCCAAGCAGCCAGCUUUCUUCUUUGCAGCGGCGCCGUACGUCCCAGGGAAAAUACAAGGUCAGGCAAGAUGUAUAUACGUUUGAACAAGGUCCGUAACACUUGACACACAACUUUCGCUCUUUAUCAAUGAAAACUGCAGGUGGUGUUUUCAUCAGGAAGAAAUUAGCCCUUGAAUCCGCAGAUAUAUAGAUGAUCAUCAGAUCUGAUGCGUGCUAAUAGCUCAAGGCAAUAUCGUUCUUUGUUAGUUCCGUUUCUGCAGAUCGAAUUGUGUCUAUGAUAGUCUACUUUUUUGUAAUUCUUUAGGACUUGUUCGGUUAUUUCUAUAAUACAUAAAUUGGAUGAGAUUGGAAAACAUUUAGAAGAACUUUGACUUGGGAUUUAAACAUACCCAAUCCAACUCAAUUCACAUGGAUUGAGAGCUAACCGAAUAAGCCCUUAGCAGGUAACAUGCAC